GACGAACCGUGCAAACGUUGUUCGGAAUCACUGGGCUUAAAGGGCGCGUAGGCGGCUUGCCAAGUCGGGGGUGAAAUCUUUCGGCUUAACCGGAAAAGUGCCCCCGAUACUGGCCGGCUAGAGGGAGAUAGGGGCAUGCGGAACUUCCGGUGGAGCGGUGAAAUGCGUAGAUAUCGGAAGGAACGCCGGUGGCGAAAGCGGCGUGCUGGAUCUCUUCUGACGCUGAGGCGCGAAAGCCAGGGGAGCAAACGGG
rnacentral:rRNA from 1 species